rnacentral:rRNA from 1 species
UUUAACGAGAGUUUGAUCCUGGCUCAGGAUGAACGCUGGCGGCGUGCUUAACACAUGCAAGUCGAGCGAAGCACUUUUGCGGAUUUC